CUGCCGCUUAACUGAAGCAGCAGGAACUGACAAGGAAUGCUUGUAAUAUGGAACAUAUCAUGUAUAGUAAAAUGUCAUUUUCAAGUGCUUUCUGAACUAUCCAUCCCAGUAAUGAAGCAGCUCUGAAAUAUCACGUGACUUUCUCACAGUGUGUUGCACUCCGUAUAACCUCGCCUUUGAUCAUGAUGUCACUUCAGAUGAAAGACUCGCAUGGAGAGUGGUACGUUGUGCGUUAGGAUCAGCCGAUAUCCUCUGGGAUCUGAACAGUGAAGGACUAUUUGAGACGUGCACUCUGUGCUCGUCAAAGAGAAGUAAGUGCUGCAAUAAAAAUAGUAGUUGGAUAUCCAAACUCACCUCAGUCUGGAUUGAAGGAAGACUUCACCUUUAUGCAAAAAGACCUGCCUAAUCUAAAAACUCUCCUGGAAAGGAUUUUAAGAAUCAGUAAUCAUUUUUACCGUCUUUCAGUUCAGGUUCCUAAUUCAGCUCAGUGAUUCCCAGAAUGCUUGAGUAGCUCUAGGUGUCCCUGCUUGAGCAGGGAGGCUGGAGCAGAUGAUCUCCAGAGGUCCCUCCCAGCCUCAGCCAUUCUGUGAUUUUCAUAUUUUGAUACUCCUUAUUCGAGUGUUACCAAUAAAAGUGAAACAAACACUACAGAACACCCUCUUCUGCUUCUGUUAGCGCUAGCAGCCCCCUAUAGGAUAGUCUCAAUGUGCUCAGGGGGUGCCUUUAUGCAGCUUUUCUCUUGUGCCUGGGAACUUGGCAUUUGGUGCCUUGUGUCCCCGUUGAAUAGUACAUGAUGGGCUUUUCUAGUGAAUUUAAAAUCAGGCAAACUUAAAACCACACACCCUGUGGUCCAGGGAUGGCAAGAAGACUCUGUGCAUAAGAUGCCAGCUGGUCUAAGCACGCCUGUUCAGCUCCCGUUGCAGCACCUGCUGGAAAACCCUCCGAAACCCCAAAAAAUCAGACAGUUCCCACAGAGGGAUUUUUCUUACUCUGAAGCCUUAAUCUCCUUUACCAAACAAAGUCGGCCGGAGGUGAUGUGGGGCUGCAUCCUGCUAGAGCGAAUGCUUUUCUGCAGAUGUGCAAUCCCCUUUCGCUCACACCUUCUUAGCAUUUGCUUUCUGGGAACGUCUGAGUGAUUGAGGGUGAAGGUCUGGCCCCGUGCAGCUCUGCCAUCUCCUUCGAUGGAGUCAGUAUUUCACCUGCACUCACGGUGACAGAGACUGAAUGUCAGAGCUGCAUGCCCAAGCUUUCACAGAAAUCAAUUCUCACACGCAGCGUUAAUAUUGGAAGUGCUUCUUGCUCACCUAAUUGUUGGCCAGACACAAUAACCUGUGACUAAUAACCAUCCACGGUUAUACAGCACGGCCUGAUUAUAAAAAUCUGACAUUAGUCCAUAACAAAAAAAAUCUCGAGCUGUUAAUUGACCAGCGUGUAUUCCUGAGGAAAUCAGAGUAAUCAGAUGGAUACUCAUCACACAGAAAGGGAGGGAAGGUACAGCCAGACAGUGCAUUGCUUUUAUGAUUCAUCUGCUCUGAUCUAUUUUUGAUUAUUUUUCCCUCAUAUAGGGCCAGUAUUGUAAAUCAAAGAUUUGAGAAAUAAGCCUGUGCUUAAAGUGACCCAAAUUAAAAGCUGAUUGCCCCCCUUCUUUUCUUGCUAGGCAUUUCCGUGCAGGAAUAGACGUUAUGUUAAAGGCAGUCAUAGAGCUACAGAAGCAAAGCGGUUAGCUCAUGGUCCGCCUGUGCCAAUGUUUAAGGUCAGCUACUGGAAAAAGUUACAAAACAUCUAUUACAGCCAGGGGAGGACCAUUCCUACCAAUGGGCAGGACGGCUUGUCCGUGUGGAAGAUUGUCCUGCUUCCCUGCCCUUGAAGUACCAAAGGAGCUUCAGCAACACUCUUCCUGGCUGAAUGAAGGGCAGAGGCACCAGUCUGGCGGAGAGGAUGCAGCAUCACCAUUGCAACCCAAGGAAUUCUCAGGCUUCACCUAAACACGGUGACCCUCUGGCAUUUCCGCCGUGGUCAGCAGCCUUCACAGUAGGACACAGACUUGGAUCUAGUUAUGAUUUUAACGAGCAGAGCUCAGAGAAGUUGGUGAUGGUAGGAAAAAAGCAAGCAAGCAGACCAUAAAUCAGAUCAUUGGAUGAAUUCAGAAUGCACUAAUAAAAUCAGAGCUUCCAAUAAUUUUCAUUUCAGGCAGAGUAGAAACCGUUUCUCAGUCGAGAGUUCAGGACAGAUUAUAAUUUCAGAUGUGUGUCAGGCCAAUGCAAUAUGUCAAAAAAAAAAAUGCUUGCAGGCAGUAAGCAAUAGCCGGUCCAGAGUCAGGCCCUCAACACCGGCUGCACUUUAGCAUGAUUGAAUAAAAAGGUGAGCAUCUCGACUUCUCUGAGCAAAGAGAAAUCUAAUUAAAUAUUUAAUGUGGAUUGGUUGUUUUUUUUGUCCUCUCUCCCAAAUCCUUCAGUUUCUUGCUCUUUCAUACUGUGCUACGAUGGCAUUUGAACAACAAAUGCAGUCUUGGUAGGUUGGUCUCCUGGUACUGCUUCUUAUAUGAAAAGCUUGCACAUCCCAGCUGAGGUCCAGAUGCUGCAUUUAUGAGAUAUUUUGUCGUGAUCAAUUUUUGAAAAACAUUUUUCCACCCCAUGAAAUUAAUAGGCACCUGGGGAAAUACCAGCCAGCUCCUCCCCACUCCUGCAAAUACUGACCUUUCCCAGAUGGGAUGGGAUUUCUCUUUCCCUUUACUUACCUGCAAGAUGUCCUUGCCAGUACUCAGAAUCAGAGGGCGAAGGAAAAAAUAAGAAAACCUUAGUAAGUGGAAAACAUUAUGAACAGACCAACUACACAUACUCCAGCUAAGAACACUGCUCUGAGGAUGCAUUAUACCGAAGGCAGCCUGCAUAAUCUUGCCAGGGUCAGAGUGAGUCAUUAGCAAGAGGCAUCCUGAUUUUUGUAACUAUUCUGAUUACUUCAAGACUGAUUUAAAAGGCCACAGGUUUGUGCGGGCAGCACAGUCAUAAAGAUAACUACUCACGGCUUUACAAAUUGGUUUUCUUGCAAUCAUCUCACUACUGUGGGACUGCAGCCCUUUAUUUUGUUUUGUCUUUUUUACUUGUCUGUGUUCUGCUCAUAAUAAUUUAUGCUUUUUUCUACAAGAAACAAAGCAACUCAGAGCUGAGCAGGAGCCUCGUCUGCCUUCCUGUGCCAGAUCUGCGUUCUGUGCCUGGGACCACCCUUUCUGAGCACCUUCCUACCCACAAGCAUCCAACACCCUUCGUGUGCUCAGCAGCCAGUGCUGUGGCUACAGACUGUUCUUCAAGAGAGACUUCAGGAUGCUCAAAACCAACCAAGUGACCUAGGAGAACAUCUGAGGAGAAACACUGAAAUUGCUUUAAUUUCUUUUCUUGCUAAGCUUUUCUUUAUUGUUGCAGUUUCCUUUCAGCAUGGGGAGUCUGUAGGUGGCUGCUCUGGCAUCAUCUUUAAAAUCAAAGCAGUUUAGAAGCUGCCGUUAUCCCUGGUUAGCCUUUGGCUGCCACGUUCCCUCUCUGUUACUAAAGGGUGAAUUCUUCUUGUACUCGUUUUUCUACAAAAUAAGGUAUUUCUUUUCAUCGGCUUCUGUGGUGUUUGCAGCCACCACGUAGCCUUGCAGAGCAUAUUGGGAGAGAUGAUUCUUUGGUUAGACCCAUCCAGCCAUCCCAUCACUCAUUACAUGAAGGUUGGUUCAACACUGACCAAAACAAGUUAACUGUGGAAAACAGUCACUUGACACCUUUUAGAUAGAAUAAAUACAGUUAUUUUCUGAAUGAAAAUAUUCCAUCGUGUGGUUGAGGCAUUUUUUUAUGUCAUAGAGUAACUAUUUAUAAUUUCUCAUUACAACCAUUAAUGUCUGACUGAAAAUUAUUCCAGGAGUUGUGCUUCAAAAGGCACUGUCCCUUCACAAAGGGAAACACCUUUCCUUAUACUGCCUGAGACUGACAGAGUUAAUUUUAAAGUGGAAAAGCAGCACAGGCUUGCAGUCUAUGACAACUCUUAUGUGUUUCAAUCUUCAUUUCAUACAUAAGACAUCCAAUGAAAAAAAUAAUAAAAAGAAAUCUAAAUAUGCUUCUACACUAGGGGAAAAAAAAAUACCAUAUUGAGCCGUUAUAGGUUUGGGAGGUUUUUUAUUUUAGCACCAUGCCCUUUUUCCCUUUAAAAGAUUUGGUUUUUUAUGGUAAGAUUCAACUAGGUGCCUCUGCAUUGUUAUAACACGCACAGUGAUUUCAAAUGAUUAAUACCUUGACAGCAUAAUCUUCUAACAAAUCAUUUUUAUCCGUUAUCUAGAAUCAACUUUUAAUUAAAAGAAUACGUUAUAUUUGUUUUCUGAUAUCAAAUUACCCUCAUUAUUUUUAAAUUAACGUGUGAUGUUGGCACAUACUAAAUAUGGCACGUAUAUUUCUGUUGGGCUUUACUGUCUGCCUGAGACGUGAAUUUCAAUUAUUAAGCAUUAGUAAGUAUUUAGGAAUGCACUGCUAUGUAGAGUCUGCAAUUAAUUUUGCCAGGAAUGAUCUGUAGCUUUUUCUCUAGCUUUUUGUAGCCUACAUUUUAAAAGGAACACACCAUCUUCUUUCAAAACUGUACUGUAUUUGUCCAAAAUUGGUAAUUUUUUUCCUAACCUUACAAGGGAGGCUUGUAAAAUCAGGCGAAACCUCGAUCAGGCUCCAAUAAAGGCUUUCUGUGAACAUAUCUUAUGUAUUUUCAAAUUCAGUGCAUCUUAGUGCGUCAUAUGGGCAACUCUGACUCUGUACUGCACCCUCCCAGCGCACGCCUGUUACUUUGAUGUUUUAUAUUUAACUCAGGAGGCUGAAAGUCAUCUACAGACACUCACUCUCCCUCAAGAACACGCAUGGCAACAUGUGGCUGCGAUGAAGAUAGAAAGACACCUGCGUGCAUCGCCGUCUGCCUCUGCAAGAGCCCUGUAAGGCUGGUGAGAUCGCCUUCACGGGGCUAUUAAAGGCAAGACGUUUUUUUUCCUCUACUGUAAUCCCAGCAACAGUGCACCGAAAGCUAAAAAUCAAAUUAGACACUCAGUACAUUGGAAUAUUUUAUUUUGACUUUACAUGCGGUGUUAAAAACCCAAAGAACGUAUUAUUUACACAUCCACAAUACAAGUUUACAAGAUAUCUAUACAGGUUAAAGUACUCUAUAGUAUAGAGCAGCUUUCAUUUAAGGGUUACUUUUUUUUAUGCCGUACCAUUAAAAAAGAUACAAUCUGCGUUUACCUUUGCACAAAUGGAUAAAGCAUCUUUUAUUAUUAAAUUAACAGAAUAAGGACUAGGUUGAAUGUUAGAAAUUUCAACAUAAAUACUGAGAGAACUCACAUUACCAUCUACAAGGCAGCACAAUGUUACAGGAGGUUAUCAGGGUUCACAUACAUUUAUCUUUCGGUUUCACACAAGUCUGUAUUAAUUAAUAUUCGUAAAGUGAAUUCGGAUCAGUUUGUGUCUUUUGACAACUGAGUACAUAUUUAAUAGUUAUUAAUCUGUAGUGUUUUAGUCGCAAGACAGAAGUGUUUAGGAAGAGAGAUCAUUGAUUUUUGGAUUUAGAGGUCUCAGGAAAUAAAUGUCCCUUACAGCCUUACAAGAAAAAAUGACUACUUCCAUCCUUUAUUUUUUGUUCUGUAACAGAGAUCCAGUUUUCAGUGACUAACCUUUUCUCUCCUUUGAACACAUAACAUAAAUCUCCACCAUCUCUGAAACCCAUUGCAGUUAUUUGUCCCACUAAUUCAUGAAUAUUCCUCUGCCAUGGUUAUUUCUAUAGUUAUGUUCAAUAAACAAUGUGGUAGUGUGUACUUUGCAAGCUAAAAUAGCCAUCUGUGUCGAACAUCAGCUGCAAGUGGAUACCGUAAAACCUACUAAAUAGCUUACACAACUUUAGCAGGUGUUCCAUUACCCUAGAAACCUCAUUUGAUUUCACAUUAUAACUGUUUGAUCCUUCAGAGAGCUGGAGUGGAAUGUUUAUCAUGGUAAGGUGAUUUAAUGCUGCUGUCUUCUUGGAUUGUAGGCUGCCUUUAGUUACCAUUAAUUAUCCUUGCUUUUUAUCUUCUUUCAUUUAUUUUUUUUUUGGGUGCUGUCGAGCGGUUUUACAACGGGCACUCGGGACAUAUGUGCUAUAGUGAGAACACUUGACAGAUUUAUUUUUUUUUUUUUUAGUACUUUUAUCAUUUGCAUGAAUAAGGCACAAAAUGCACAGAUUCAGGUAAACUCACACAUAAUAUUUACAGAAUAUUGUCAUUACCUGCAUGACUUUGGAAAAAAAAAACCCUUACAUUACACAACAAAAACAAAUUGAUUGCACUACUGUUGAGUUUUCACGGACUGCUUCUGCCAAGCCAAUUAAUGUUUCUUCUGUUUUAUUGACAAGUCUAUCAGCGUGUAGGGCAUUAUUAAACGCAACAAAAAUGUAACCUUCUCUAGUUACAGAGGCCUUUGCCAAGUAAGUAGACUAUUAGCUGCCCUCAAUGAGAAGUACAGGGGCUCGAGUUCACAGUGGCCAGGUAGUGGACGGAGGCACUGUGGGAACACAGUAAAACUCCCCCGUUCCAGCCCAAACCACUAGAUUUGAAAUGCACAGUUCUGAAUCAAUAGCAGCGUAACAGAGUUAUGAAGAAUUACGUGUUAUCUGUGCUCUUUCACUGGGUGGCUACUUCAUCAAGGUGUUCUCGUUCAGAAGGCUGGCAGAUGUGCAGUUCAACCUUUGCUGUUGCCAAACUGAACCCAAAGGGCCGCAGAAGGCAGAGUCAUCUGUUUGUUCAGUCAUGCUCAAUGUAAACAAUUCCAUAGCAUAAAAGAUGCAAUGGGAAUCUAAGUACAUCCUAGUGUGUACAGUACACACGCACAUCCACACACACGCACAGCUUUUUCUGUGGCACAAACAAAAUGCCACGUACACGGAGAGAAAAAAAUAAUAAUGCUACAGUUGGGCCAGAGACUGAAUUCCAGCAAAUUGAUUAUUAACCCAGCUAUUCAUUGAGACAUUACCAUUUUCUGACAUUUGUGCAAGAGGCAAGGUGAAUGCAUACAUAUUAAAAUGUUCACAUUUAAUGGGAAGGACCACACUUAAUGGCAGUCUAAAAUGGAACCCAUUUUUCAAGUAUUACUUGAUUUUUUUUUCCGAAAAACUCUUUUUUUUUAGCUAUUUAGAACAGUAAAGUAGCCCCCACCCCAUUGUGCUACAUGUCUCCUUAGCUCCAAACAAAAGAAAUGUAAUGACCAGCACUUUCCUUUGUUUCUUUUUUUAUGUUUGCUCUUAGCAAGUA